rnacentral:lncRNA from 1 species
AGAAAGAAAAGUCUGAUGUUUUAAGCUCCAAAAUCCUCUAUAACUUACACUUAACACUAUGAAAAAUUAAAACCAAUGGAGGUUUUUUAUAUGUUUCUUUGUUUGAGCAGGUUCGGAACAUUGGAUUCAGGAUUUUCAAAUUCGUUUCCAUUUAAAAACCUUCUAAAACAAUGCUUUCCUGUUUUAAAGCUUUACUCUGGUGAAAAUCGUUUUCAAGGCAAAACAUAAAAUUUCAAAAGCUAACCCCCUAUAAACUGGUAGAAAGCACAUAACAAUAUCCAACUUCACAAAUAAUAUCCAAAUAUGAAUUUCAUUCAUAUGUAAUUCCCAAACAU